rnacentral:rRNA from 1 species
UGCCAGCCGCCGCGGUAAUACGGAGGGUGCAAGCGUUGCCCGGAUUCACUGGGUGUAAGGGUGUGCAGGCGGAGCAGACAGUCAGUGGUGAAAGCCCGUAGCUUAACUAUGGAACUGCCAUUGAUACUACUGCUCUUGAGUAUUGGAGAGGCUACUAGAAUUCGUGGUGUAGCGGUGAAAUGCGUAGAUAUCACGAGGAAUACCAGAGGCGUAAGCGGGUAGCUGGACAAAUACUGACGCUGAGGCACGAAAGCGUGGGGAGCAAACAGGAUUAGAUA